rnacentral:rRNA from 1 species
AACGAACGCUGGCGGCAUGCCUAACACAUGCAAGUCGAACGAACCCUUCGGGUCUAGUGGCGCACGGGGGCGUAACGGGACGGGACAUGCACAUAUGGUCGGACUAACUCCCCGACUGGGGUGCUAAUGCCGAAUAAGAGCUACGGACGGAUAAUUUAUCGCCUUUGGAUGGGCAGGAGUUGAAUUAGCUAGUGGGUACGGUAAAAGACUACUAAGGGGACGAUCAGUAAGUGGUCUGUGAGGCAGGUCACCGACACUGGGACUGAGACACGGCCCGGACUCUUCCGCGAGGCAGCAGUGGGUAAUAUUGGACCAUGGGCUGAGUCAUGAAGCUGCUCUGCCCGGUGAGUUAUGAAGGCCGUAGGGUUGUAAAGCUCUUUUACCCGUGAUGAUAAUGACAGUACCGGGAGAAUAAGCUCCGGCUAACUCCGUG